AUUGAACGCUGGCGGCAGGCCUAACACAUGCAAGUCGAACGAGUGGCGGACGGGUGAGUAAUGUCUGGGAAACUGCCUGAUGGAGGGGGAUAACUACUGGAAACGGUAGCUAAUACCGCCUACCAUCAGCUCUGCCCCGAUGGGAUUAGCUAGUUGGUGGGGUAACGGCUCACCAGGGCGACGAUCCCUAGCUGGUCUGAGAGGAUGACCAGCCACACUGUAACUGAGACACGGUCCAGACUCCUACGGGAGGCAGCAGUGGUGAAUAUUGCACAAUGGGCGCAAGCCUGAUGCAGCCCUGCCGCGUGUAUGAAGAAGGCCUGCGGGUUGUAAAGUACUUUCAGCGUGGAGGCGUUACCCGAAGAAGAAGCACCGGCUAACUCCGUGCCAGCAGCCGCGGUAAUUG
rnacentral:rRNA from 1 species